rnacentral:rRNA from 1 species
UACGUAGGGUCCGAGCGUUGUCCGGAAUUAUUGGGCGUAAAGAGCUCGUAGGCGGUCUGUUGCGUCGGCUGUGAAAACCCGGGGCUCAACUCCGGGCCUGCAGUCGAUACGGGCAGACUAGAGUUCGGUAGGGGAGACUGGAAUUCCUGGUGUAGCGGUGAAAUGCGUAGAUAUUGGGAAGAACACCUGAGGCGAAGGCGGGUUGCUGGGCCGACACUGACGCUGAGGCGCGAAAGCCAGGGGAGCAAACGGG